rnacentral:rRNA from 1 species
GACGAACGCUGGCGGCGUGCCUAAUACAUGCAAGUCGAGCGAAGUUUUUCUGGUGCUUGCACCGGAAAAACUUAGCGGCGAACGGGUGAGUAACACGUAAAGAACCUGCCUCAUAGACUGGGACAACUAUUGGAAACGAUAGCUAAUACCGGAUAAUAGCAUUAACUGCAUGGUUGAUGUUUAAAAGUUGGUUUUGCUAACACUAUGAGAUGGCUUUGCGGUGCAUUAGCUAGUUGGUGGGGUAAAGGCCUACCAAGGCGACGAUGCAUAGCCGACCUGAGAGGGUGAUCGGCCACACUGGGACUGAGACACGGCCCAGACUCCUACGGGAGGCAGCAGUAGGGAAUCUUCCGCAAUGGGCGAAAGCCUGACGGAGCAACGCCGCGUGAGUGAAGAAGGAUUUCGGUUCGUAAAGCUCUGUUGUUAGGGAAGAAUGAUUGUGUAGUAACUAUACACAGUAGAGACGGUACCUAACCAGAAAGCCACGGCUAACUACGUGCCAGCAGCCGCGGUAAUACGUAGGUGGCAAGCGUUGUCCGGAAUUAUUGGGCGUAAAGCGCGCGCAGGUGGUUUAAUAAGUCUGAUGUGAAAGCCCACGGCUCAACCGUGGAGGGUCAUUGGAAACUGUUAAACUUGAGUGCAGGAGAGAAAAGUGGAAUUCCUAGUGUAGCGGUGAAAUGCGUAGAGAUUAGGAGGAACACCAGUGGCGAAGGCGGCUUUUUGGCCUGUAACUGACACUGAGGCGCGAAAGCGUGGGGAGCAAACAGG